rnacentral:lncRNA from 1 species
GAAGUACCCCGCUGAGCGCGACCUGCCCGGACACGCUCCCGACCCGCGGCGGCGCCGACCCGCGGCGGGGGGCGCAGAGCGCUCGGCCCCGAAAUUACUUCCUUACAAAACGAGGUGGGAGGAGAAGGGGGUCGGCUUUGACCAUCUGCAAACGCUGGACGUCGUCAGCGGCAGUGGUGGCGGGAGCUGGGAGUGGCGGGAGCUGGGAGUGGCGGGAGGGGAAGGGUUUAACCAGGAGGAACGUUGUGGGUGGGGAGAGACCAGAGGCCUUGGCAAUUAGAGACUUGGGUAAACAAGCCCAGAAAAGAGAUUGGAAAAGGAAACUUUUCGAACUUGAAGAGUAUGGGCAGUAACAGGGAAGGGAAAUGAGAAGAACCUUAAUCACCGCAGAGGAGAUGCCAGAGGCCCUGUGAGAAAGCUCCGGGUCCCAGGAAGUCACUGCAAACAGAAGCCCUGGUGCCAGCCAGAAAGAACAUCGUGUUUGAGUUGGGAAGGGAUUUGUGUGUGUCCUUCCAGAUAGGUCGAUAUCGCCCAUUGUGGAUGUUUAGCAAAAACGAGUGGAUCGUUAUCAUAUGGAAAACGUUCAAAUCUUUUGUGGGAGGGCUGAGCUACCUGGGAACGUGAAAUUAUUUGCAUAAUGUUUGGCGAGGCCAUGAGUAAUUCUACUAUUAUGAAGAGGAGUAAUUAGGAGUGGUUAACGGUUACUGAGAGCCGCUUCAUGCUAAGGACUUUGACAUGCAUUUUCUCAUUCCGUCCUCAGAACAACCGUUGCUACUUUACGGGUGCAGAAACUGAGGUUUGUAGAAAAUUGCCCAAGUUCACUUAGGCAGAGAGCACUGCCCUGAUUCCGAACCAGGCAGGCCCACAGAGAGCAAGAGCUCUUACCCACUGUAGCCUUCCCAGCAAUCAGUUUCUUAGAAAAUGUGUGUUUUCGCCGAACGCGGUGGCUCACGCCUGUAAUCCCAGCUCUUUGGGAGGCCGAGGCGGGUGGUUCGUUUGAGGCCAGGAGUUCGAGACCAGCCUUGCCAAUAUGGUGAAACCCCGUCUCUACUGAAAUACAAAAGAUUAGCCGGCCUUGGUGGUGCACGCCUGUCGUCCCAGUUGCUUGGGCGGCUGAGGCACGAGAAUCGCUUGAACCUGGGAGGCGGAGGUUGCAGUGAGCCGAGAUCGCGCCACUGCAUUCCAGCCUGGGUGACGGAAUAAGACUCUGUCUCAAAAAAGAAAAAGAAAAAAAAAGCGUGUUUUCAUAUUAGCUGUGCUGUUUAAUGAAAAGAUUGCAAAUUCGUUGCAUGGGCUCCCUAGAAGUGCUUAGUUUGGUUUACAGUAUUGGCCUUCAAAAUGUAUUGUAAAAAUUUGAAUUGAUUACCAACAUUUUAAACAUUGAGGGAUUGCAUGAAAAACCCAGAUUCCAGCAUCUCUUGGAAAACCAGAAUCUCUGACAACGUGGGAUCCAUUUUCCAAAAGUGCAAACUAGGUUUGAAGUGUGGUCGAAGCCACACCCUUUAGAGGAACCUAGGGUGCUCCUGUUCACCACACUCCCCGCUGUUUGCUUUUCCCAUUUACAUUAUCUGGCCUCAGUAGGCAUUUGAGGUUGUUUAUUUAUCUUAAAUCAUUCAGUCAACACAAACCAGCAAGUAUUUAUUUAUGGCUUGGUCCUGCUGAAGGUAUGGACAACAAUAUAAGCAUGGAACAAAACUGCUCUUGAGUUUAAACAACAUAGUUUCGAGGCUGAUGUUGGCUGUUUUUGAAUGGGGUAUAUACAAACGAGUAAAAGUGGACAGAAUUUAGGAAUCAUCACAAGACGCAGGAAGCACACUGGAGAUGCUGCCUUGAAAUCUAUUAUCCCCAAGUGGUAAUUCAAAACCACUCCAGGCUCAUUUUGACUUACCUAAUACAUAAGGAACACCGUUAACUUUUUGGUUGCAUAAAUUAUUAAAUUUCUGUCGUUCAAAUACGCACCCUGAAAUGCAGAGAAUAUACUCAACAACCACCAAAAAAAAAAAAAAAAAGUGAAUCACAACAUUGUUUACCUAUAAAAGGUAUGUUAAUCCCAUCCUCUAACAUUUUCAUUAGAAAAGAAUUGGUCAUGUGACUCACACUGGCUACAAACCUUAGGCAACUCUGUUUUUUAGGGAAUUGCAAAUUCAGCUUGCAAGGAGGAAAAGAGCGGAAAGAAGUCGGGCGAGGUGGGUUUUGGACAUGGGUCAGAUUCAGCUGGUUUAUAGAGGACUUUUAAAGAUUUAGGAUUUGAGAUGGUCCAUAAACUCUUUGGCAGAUCUAACAUUCUCUAAAGAGAAUUGGCCAGGCAUAGUGGCUCACGCCUGUAAUCUCAGCACUGUGGGAGGUGGAGGCUGGGGGAUCGCUUGAGUCCAGGAGUUGAUGACCAACCUGGGUAACAUGGUGAAACCCUGUCUCUGCAGAUAAUACAAGUAUAAGCUGUAGUGUCAGCUACUCAGGAGGCUGAGGUGGGAGGAUUGCUUGAGCCAAGGAGGAGGAGGUUGCAGUGAGCUAUGAUCGAGCCACUCCACUCUAGCUUGAGCGACAAAGGGAGAACCCUGUCUCAAAAAAAAAAAAAAAAGCUAGAAGCAGAGUGAAUAGCUUCUUUUAACUGUAUAUCCUCUGGAAAAGGGAGGUAUCAUUUAAUGUUGGGCUUGCAACAAAUAUAAACAUGGAGAUAUUUGACCAAACGAAAUAAUUAAUAAAAAUGUAUCAUGAAGCGUUAGAAUUCCCUACUAUUUUUUUUUAAGUAGGACUGGUGAAAAUGACAUUUUAAAAAACUAUUAGAUAAUCCUUUCUCGUGAAACAAGUUCAAAAAUGACAGUGCACAUCUGAUCAUUUCGAUGUCAGUGUUUAAAAAAAGAAAAAUGUAUACGUAUCUAUAUAUAUAUAUGAACCACAAUGACAAAACAAAAUAAGCAUGAUUAGUAAUAGAAUAGUCAUUCAUAUAUUUCUUGCAGAAAAUAGGAUUUGACAGUUAAACAAGAGGACAUGAGAUAUAAAUGAGGCAUAUGUAGAGUCAGCCUGGGAUAAAAUAUACAGGCUGUAGAUCGAUUGUGUUUGUUCUAAUAAAAGUGUUUGUUGUUGUUGUUUUCCUGUAUAGCAUGUUUGUUAACAGGAAAUUAGCCAGAGUAUUUGAUGGAUUAUAUCUCUCACGCCUGUAAUCCCAGCGCUUUGGGAAGCCGAGGCAGGCAGAUCACUUGAGGUCAGGAGUCUGCCAGCCUGGCCAAUGUGGCAAAACCCCAUCUCUACUAAAAAUACAAAAAUUAGCCGGGCGUGGUGGUGCAUGCCUGUAAUCCUGUAAUCCCAGCUACUCAGGAGGCUGGACUGAGACAGGAGAAUCGCUUGAACCCAGGCGGAGGUUGCAGUGAGCCGAGAUGGCGCCACUGCACUCCAGCCUGGGCAACAGAGUGAGACUCUGUCUCAAAAAAAAAAAAAAAAUCUCUCUUUAAGACAGACACUGAGGCCAGGCACAGUGUGGCUCACGCUUGUAAUCCCAGCACUUUGGGAGGCCGAGGUGGGUGGAUCACCUGAGGUCAGGAGUUCGAGACCAGCCUGACCAACAUGGUGAAAACCCAUCUCUACUAAAAAUACAAAAUUAGCUGGGCGUGGUGGCACAUGCCUGUUAUCCCAGCUACUCAGGAGGCUGAGGCAGGAGAACUGUUUGAACACGGGAGGUGGAGGUUGCAGUGAGCCGAGAUUACACCAUUGCACUCCAGCCUAGGCAACAAGAGCAAAACUCAUCUCAAAAAAAAAAAAAAAAAAAAAACAGGCCGGGCGCGGUGGCUCACGUCUGUAAUCCCAGCACUUUCAGAGGCCAAGGCGGGCAGAUCAUGAGGUCAGGAGAUCGAGACCAUCCUGGCUAACACGGUGAAACCCCGUCUCUACUAAAAAUACAAAAAAUUAUCCGGGCAUGGUGGCGGGUGCCUGUAGUCCCAGCUACUCAGGAGGCUGAGGCAGGAGAAUGGCGUGAACCCGGGAGGCGGAGCUUGCAGUGACCUGAGAUCGCGCCACUGCACUCCAGCCUGGGCGACAGAGCGAGACUCCGUCUCAAAAAAAAACAAAAAAAAAAGACAGACAUUGAGCUAGGCCAAGGGAAGGCAAUGCUCCCUGCCCCUAUGCAAUCUUUGGUGGAGAGACCAGUAACUCAGAAAUUUCAUGUGCAUAAGAAUCACUUGAGUAUCUUCUUAAAAUGUGCAUCUGAUUCUGGAGCUCUGCUUGGACCUGAGAUUCUGCAUCUUUCGUGAACUGUCACGAUGUUGAUGCUUCUGCUCUGUGGACAACUUUGAGUAGCAAGGCCAGAGGGUGAUAUAGAGAGUAACCCAGCAGGUGCAAUAAGAUGUGUGUCAGUCCUGAGCCAGGGAAAUUAGAGCAGAUUACAGGGCUGCCUGGGAGAGCAAUCAGUAGGAAAGGGCAUCAACAUAGGGACCUGAGGCUCGAAUAGAAGUCGGCCAAGCAAUCACACCAACCAAAGGGAAGAAGGACAUUCUCGGCAGAGACUGACAGCAGUGUGAGGUCAGGAGUGGUGAGAAGUGAUGGGGAGAAAAGCCACUGGAGGAGUUUGGAUAUUAUCGUGGGGGCAAUAGGGAAUUACAGAAGGUUUUUAGCAGGUAGUUGAUGUAAUAAAACUCUAGAAAGUCACUCUGACUGCAGUGUGAGUAGAUUAACCAAGCUAAGACCCAAGACAGUGUGACUUGUAAAAAUAUUGUGGUAAUUCUAGUAUAAAAUGGCAGUGUCAGCAAAGACAGUCACUGUUUCAACCUAUCUUAUUAAAACUCCCAUAUUUCCUGACUAGGGUAGAACCACAUUGUGGUAGAACAUGUCUUGAUUUUUUGUUUCAGCAUCAUUAUAAUUGACAUUUUAUCCUAUGCUAGCUUCCUAGGGCUGCUGUAACAAAGUACCACAGACUGGGUGGUUUAAAACAAUAGAAAUGUAUUCUCUCAGGCCAGGCACGGUGGCUCGUGCCUAUGAUCCCAGCACUUUGGGGGGCCGAGGUGGGCAGAUCACUUAAAAUCAGGAGUUCGAAACCAGCCUGACCAACAUGGUGAAACCCUGUCUCUACUGAAAAUACAAAAAUUAGCCAGGCGGUGGUGCACGCCUGUAGUCCCGGCUACUUGGGAGGCUGAGGUAGGAGAAUCACUUGAACCCAGGAGGCAGAUGUUGCAGUGAGCCGAGAUCAGGUUGCAGUGAGCCAAGAUCAUGCCACUGCACUCCAGAAGUCCAAAAUCAAGGUGCCUUCAGGGCAUGCUCUUUCUGAAGCCUCCAGGGGAGAAUCCUUCCCUCCCUCUCCUAGCUUCUGGUGGGUGCCUGCAGUCCCGGCAUUUCUUUUCUUUUCUUUUUUUUUAGAUGGAGUCUCGCUCUGUCACCCAGGCUGGAGUGCAGUGGCACUAUCUCGGCUCACUGCAACCUCUGCCUCCUGGGUUCAAGCGAUUCUCCUGCCUCAGCCUCCUGAGUAGCUGGGAUUACAGGUACCUGCCACUACACCUGGCUAAUUCUUAUAUUUUUAGUAGAGGUGGGGUUUCACCAUUUUGGCCAGGCUGGUCUCGAACUCCUGACCUCAGGAGAUCCCCCCUACCUCGACCUCCCAAAGUGCUGAGAUUACAGGCGUGAGCCACCGUGUCCGGCCUGCAUUCCUUAACUUGUAGGUGCAUCACUGCACUCUCUGCCUGUCUUCACAUGACCUUCUCCCCUGUGUGCCUGUGUCCAAAUUUCCUCUUAUAAAAACAUUAGUCAUAGGACUAGGGUUCACCACAAAUUAGUAAAACCUCAUUUUAACUUGAUUACAUAUGUAAAGACCCUAUCUCCAAAGAACUCACAUUUAUAAUUUGUUGGGUGGGGGGGGGUCUAGGACUUCAACAUAUCUUUUCUGGGGGACACGAUUUAAGCCAUAGCAUCUCCUUGUAUCAACUGCCUUUUAAAAAAAGUUCUAUAUAUACAUUUUUUCUUUUUUUUUUUCUUCAGUUAUUUUUACAUUUACAUCAUCCUAGGUAUUUUCAUUUCCCAUGCUGUUGGCACAUACAUUUGUCAUCCUCUUUAUAAUUUGGGACGGGUGUGGUGGCUCAUGCGUGUAAUCCUAGCACUUUAGGAGGCCGAAGUGGGCAGAUCACCUGAGGCCAGGAGUUCGAGACCAGCCUGGCCAAUAUGGUAAAACCCCAUCUUUACUAAAAAUACAAAAAUUAGCUGAGCAUGGUGGUGCAGGCCUGUCAUCCCAGCUACUCGGGAGGCUGAGGCAGGAGAAUCGCUCGAACCUGGGAGGCAGAGGUUGCAGUGAACCGAGAUUGUGCCAUUGCACUCCAGCCUGGCAACAGAACGAGACUCCAGCUCAAAAAACAAUUAAACAAACAAAACCAAAUUGCACAUUUUGCAAAUCAUAAGGCCCUUAGUAUACUUGACAAUGAAUUUAAAGCAGCCUGAAAUACUCAAGCGCAGUAUAGACAAGAUAAGGAGUAAGAGGACUUCUGAGGGAAUAGGCUUAGAACCUCUGUCAGCCAAGAAAGUAUGUGUCCUACAUAUUCUUAGCUGGAAGUUAUGGUGUGACUCCACCCUCCGCCCAUACCUGGGCUUCCCACUCACAAGGCCAAGCAAGUUUUCAAUAAAUUCCCUGAAGGAGCUUGAAAGUAAAUUCAAUUUCUAUUAGUGCAACAUGUAAGUACAUUAUAAAAUGUGGGAAACAGAGAAAAAAACUUUUUAAUCUCUUUUCAUCUCAGCACCUUAACACAACCAUUAUGAGGAUUUAGAGACGGGGUGUAAUGGCUAGUGCCUGAAAUCCCAGAGCUUUGGGAGGCCGAUGAGGCGUGAUCACUUGAGGCCAGCAGUUUGAGACCAACCAGUCUGGGCAAAAUAGCAAGACCCUGACUGCGGUUUUAAAUGUAUUGUUUAAGAAACAUUUAAUACAAUGUUUCUUAACAUUAAAAAAAAAAUUUUCAGCCAGGCACAGUAGCUCAUGCCUGUAAUCCCAGCACUUUGGGAGGCCGAGGUGGGAGGAUUUCUUGAGCCCAGGAGUUUGAGACCAGCCUGGGGGACAUGGCGAAACCCCCGUCUCUAUCAAAAACACAAAAAUUAGCUGAGUGUGAUGGUUCAUGCCUGUGGUCCAGCUACUGGGGAGGCUAAGGUGGAAGAACUACCUAAACCUGGGAGGUUGAGGCUGCAGUGAGCCAUGAUUGUGCCACCACACUCUAGCCUGGGCGACAGAGUGAGACUCUGUCUCAAAACCAGACAGAAAAGAAAGGAUUUCGGUAUAUACUUCUGGUCUUAUCUUCAAUGAGUGUUUCUAAAAAUCAUAAUUGCAUGCAGUUCAUGUAAGAUUCUGUAUUCUGUUUCUCACUUACGUUAUAUCAAAUGUUAUUUGCUGGUCUUCAUGUGCACCAUUUUUCUUGCUUCCUAAUAGUGUAAUCAAGUAGACAGCUCACAGCUUACUUGGCCAUUCACUCGUUUGUAGUACUCUGGGGUUUGUCUCUUUCUCUUCUCUCCUGGACAUCCCCACCCUGCCCCCUUACUUCCUUUCUCUCUCC